AGAGUUUGAUCCUGGCUCAGGAUGAACGCUGGCGGCGUGCCUAAUACAUGCAAGUCGAGCGAACGGACGAGAAGCUUGCUUCUCUGAUGUUAGCGGCGGACGGGUGAGUAACACGUGGAUAACCUACCUAUAAGACUGGGAUAACUUCGGGAAACCGGAGCUAAUACCGGAUAAUAUUUUGAACCGCAUGGUUCAAAAGUGAAAGACGGUCUUGCUGUCACUUAUAGAUGGAUCCGCGCUGCAUUAGCUAGUUGGUAAGGUAACGGCUUACCAAGGCAACGAUGCAUAGCCGACCUGAGAGGGUGAUCGGCCACACUGGAACUGAGACACGGUCCAGACUCCUACGGGAGGCAGCAGUAGGGAAUCUUCCGCAAUGGGCGAAAGCCUGACGGAGCAACGCCGCGUGAGUGAUGAAGGUCUUCGGAUCGUAAAACUCUGUUAUUAGGGAAGAACAUAUGUGUAAGUAACUGUGCACAUCUUGACGGUACCUAAUCAGAAAGCCAUGGCUAACUACGUGCCAGCAGCCGCGGUAAUACGUAGGUGGCAAGCGUUAUCCGGAAUUAUUGGGCGUAAAGCGCGCGUAGGCGGUUUUUUAAGUCUGAUGUGAAAGCCCACGGCUCAACCGUGGAGGGUCAUUGGAAACUGGAAAACUUGAGUGCAGAAGAGGAAAGUGGAAUUCCAUGUGUAGCGGUGAAAUGCGCAGAGAUAUGGAGGAACACCAGUGGCGAAGGCGACUUUCUGGUCUGUAACUGACGCUGAUGUGCGAAAGCGUGGGGAUCAAACAGGAUUAGAUACCCUGGUAGUCCACGCCGUAAACGAUGAGUGCUAAGUGUUAGGGGGUUUCCGCCCCUUAGUGCUGCAGCUAACGCAUUAAGCACUCCGCCUGGGGAGUACGACCGCAAGGUUGAAACUCAAAGGAAUUGACGGGGACCCGCACAAGCGGUGGAGCAUGUGGUUUAAUUCGAAGCAACGCGAAGAACCUUACCAAAUCUUGACAUCCUUUGACAACUCUAGAGAUAGAGCCUUCCCCUUCGGGGGACAAAGUGACAGGUGGUGCAUGGUUGUCGUCAGCUCGUGUCGUGAGAUGUUGGGUUAAGUCCCGCAACGAGCGCAACCCUUAAGCUUAGUUGCCAUCAUUAAGUUGGGCACUCUAAGUUGACUGCCGGUGACAAACCGGAGGAAGGUGGGGAUGACGUCAAAUCAUCAUGCCCCUUAUGAUUUGGGCUACACACGUGCUACAAUGGACAAUACAAAGGGCAGCGAAACCGCGAGGUCAAGCAAAUCCCAUAAAGUUGUUCUCAGUUCGGAUUGUAGUCUGCAACUCGACUACAUGAAGCUGGAAUCGCUAGUAAUCGUAGAUCAGCAUGCUACGGUGAAUACGUUCCCGGGUCUUGUACACACCGCCCGUCACACCACGAGAGUUUUGUAACACCCGAAGCCGGUGGAGUAACCUUUUAGGAGCUAGCCGUCGAAGGUGGGACAAAUGAUUGGGGUGAAGUCGUAACAAGGUAGCCGUAUCGGAAGGUGCGGCUGGAUCGCCU
rnacentral:rRNA from 1 species